rnacentral:rRNA from 1 species
UACGAAGGGGGCUAGCGUUGCUCGGAAUCACUGGGCGUAAAGCGCACGUAGGCGGGUCUUUAAGUCAGGGGUGAAAUCCUGGAGCUCAACUCCAGAACUGCCUUUGAUACUGAAGAUCUUGAGUUCGGGAGAGGUGAGUGGAACUGCGAGUGUAGAGGUGAAAUUCGUAGAUAUUCGCAAGAACACCAGUGGCGAAGGCGGCUCACUGGCCCGAUACUGACGCUGAGGCACGAAAGCGUGGGGAGCA